AUGGAGAUGCCCACAGAGGACGUGAACCCCAACUCCCCCCUGCCAUGGAGUACCCAGGCCUGUACACAGCCCCAAGUGAUGGCCAGCCAUGGAGGGAGAGGAGGUGGAGGGAACUGGGAUGGGGCUGGAGGCAGGGGCCUGGGGGCCAGGGCCAGGCUGGCGACUGUGCCAAGGCAGCCUCCUCCUUCCCCCACAGCCGGGGCACAGAGCCAGGGCCCGGCUCCGCACAGCCCCGGCUGCUCCCCCAGCCCCGGCUGCUCCUCCAGCCCCAGCCCUGGGUGGCUGGAAACCCUCAGGGAGCCAGAGCAGGGGGCAGUAGGGGGGACAGAGCUGCCAGGGCCACAGACUGUGGAGUGGGACUUGGCCGGGGAAGAGAUAGAGUGGGAACCCUACUUGGGCCACGAACUGCCCCAGUGGGGAAAGGAGAGUGUCCAAGAGCUGGACCAGUGGGAAUAUGAGAGACACCAGGGGCUGCCCCAGUGGAGAGACGUGAGAGUCCAAGAACCAUUCCCUUGGGAAUGUAAGAGACACAAGGAGGCUUCCCGAUGGGAAAAUGAGAGUGUUCAAGAGCUGGACCAAUGGGAAUAUGAAAGAUACCAGGAGUCUUCCCAGUGGAGAAAUGAGAAUGACCAAAAGCUCUAUGAAUGGGAAUAUGAUAGACAUGAGGAGUCUUCUCAGUGGGGAGAUGUGAGUGUCCACACACUGUUCCCAUUGGAAUAUGAGUGCCACAAGAAGCCUUCCCAAUGGGGAGAUGAAAGUGACCAAAAGCUUUACCAGUGGGAAUAUGAGAGAUACCAUGAGCUUUCCCAGUGGGAAGGCUCCAUUGACCACGAGCUGUGUGAGAAGGAAGUCAGACAAGACCCAGAGCUGUCCCAAAGGGGACACAGGAGAGACAGAGAGAAGUUACAGAAGGGUUGGGAAGAUAUCACCAUCUGCACCAUUUGGAUCAACCCCAAGUACCCACAGCUCCUGCAGGACCCCGACGCUGCUCCCCAGGACUCGGCCAUGGCAGAAGCUUCUCCUGCCUUGGCUGGGCAGGUGAAGGCAGCAGGGUCACAGAGCCAGGGCCCUGCCCCACACAGCCCCUGCUGCCCCCCAGGCCCCUCAGCUCCCCAGCCAGGAGCCCAGGCCCUCAGGGAGCAGCCGGCUCCCCCCCAGAAACGCCCGUCCCGCUUCAGGCGGGCGCUGCGGGCGCUGCGGGCGCUGCUCUGCUGGCCCUGCGGAGGGCACGGCCGGACAAUCGGUGCCCGCUGCCAGCGCCAGGCUGGGCCCCGCAGGUGA
rnacentral:lncRNA from 1 species